UCUCUCGGGCGCUGGAAUGGCAGGGGCGCAAGAAAAGCUCGAUAAGAACGUCAAGAUCGGAGUUCUGACCGACAUGAGCGGUCUUUAUUCCGAUAUUUCCGGUGCGGGUGCCGUCCUCGCCACUCAGAUGGCCGUCGAGGAUUCCGGGCUGCGUGAGAAGGGCUGGAAAAUCGAUGUCAUCAGUGCCGAUCACCAGCUCAAGCCGGAUGUGACCGCAGCCAUUGCACGGCAGUGGGCGGACG
rnacentral:misc_RNA from 1 species